AUGGGUUCCAGGUUCCUAAGCUGUGUGGCCUUCUGCCUCUUGGGAGUAGGUCCCCUGGAGACGGCUGUUUUCCAGACUCCAAAACAUCUUGUCACACAGGUGGGAAAUAAAGCAUUUCUCGAGUGUGAACAAAAGCUGGGCCAUGAUGCUAUGUACUGGUACAAGCAAGACUCUAAGCAAUUGCUGAAGAUUAUGUUUAUCUACAAUAAUAAGCAACUCAUUUUAAAUGAAUCAGUUCCAAGUCGCUUCUCACCUCAGUCUCCAGAUAAAGCUCUUUUGAAUCUUCAUGUCAAGUCUUUAGAACUGGAUGACACUGCUGUGUACUUUUGUGCCAGCAGCUAUGGAAACACGGUCUAUUUUGGAGAAGGAAGCCGGCUCACUGUUGUAGAGGACCUGAGCAAGGUGAGCCCACCCAAGGUCACCUUGUUUGAGCCAUCAGAAGCAGAGAUCAUCGACAAACAAAUGGCUACCCUCGUGUGCCUGGCCAGGGGCUUCUACCCUGACCAUGUGGAACUGAGCUGGUGGGUGAAUGGGAAGGAGCUCCGCAGUGGAGUCAGCACAGACCCUCAGCCCUCCAAGGAGACCAAUAACAUCACCUACUGCCUGAGCAGCCGCCUGAGGGUCUCUGCAACCUUCUGGCACAAUCCUCGCAACCACUUCCGCUGCCAAGUCCAGUUCUAUGGGCUUACAGCUGAAGAUGAGUGGGACAAGCCCUCGCCCAAGCCUGUCACCCAGAACGUCAGUGCAGAGGCAAGGGGCCGUGCAGAUUGUGGCAUAACCUCAGCAUCCUACCAACAAGGGGUCCUGUCGGCCACCGUCCUUUAUGAGAUCCUGCUGGGGAAAGCCACCCUGUAUGCAGUGCUUGUCAGUACCCUAGUGCUGAUGGCCAUGGUUAAAAGAAAGCAUUCCUGAGGCCAGACCUGGAGGCAGAGCCCAGAGCUUCCAACCCAUUAUGCGAACUCGGAUUCUCUUUUUCCAGUACUUCUGAAGAGCUGUUCUCACUUGUCUGUGCAUCCUAAAGUCUGCCUUCUGGUCAUGCAUGCUUACACAUGUUCAUCUGAAAUCCCUGUGACCUGGAGAAUGCCUAGCUCACU